GAUGAACGCUGGCGGCGUGCCUAAUACAUGCAAGUCGAGCGAACAGACGAGGAGCUUGCUCCUCUGACGUUAGCGGCGGACGGGUGAGUAACACGUGGAUAACCUACCUAUAAGACUGGGAUAACUUCGGGAAACCGGAGCUAAUACCGGAUAAUAUAUUGAACCGCAUGGUUCAAUAGUGAAAGACGGUUUUGCUGUCACUUAGAGAUGGAUCCGCGCCGCAUUAGCUAGUUGGUAAGGUAACGGCUUACCAAGGCGACGAUGCGUAGCCGACCUGAGAGGGUGAUCGGCCACACUGGAACUGAGACACGGUCCAGACUCCUACGGGAGGCAGCAGUAGGGAAUCUUCCGCAAUGGGCGAAAGCCUGACGGAGCCACGCCGCGUGAGUGAUGAAGGUCUUCGGAUCGUAAAACUCUGUUAUUAGGGAAGAACAAAUGUGUAAGUAACUAUGCACGUCUUGACGGUACCUAAUCAGAAAGCCACGGCUAACUACGUG
rnacentral:rRNA from 1 species